AUUUUUUUUUUUUUUAAUUUUUUCACAAAUCAAACUUCAAUAUCAUAUAUUGUACUAUUAUAAUGUGAAAUGCCAUUAUUCAUAACUUUUGCAUGGGAAACUUGAAAAGGCUUCUUACCUACCAAGCAAGUCAACAAAAAUGGUUUGCAAUCAGAUAAAAAUGACAGAAGAAAAGAAUAAAGGCAUAAAAAGCAAAGAAGUCCUAGUUUGGUUGAUCUUGGAAUAUAAAAGGACCUCAAAGACUGCCUCAAUGACAUUUCAGUACAUCAGCAUUCAGAGAUUGGUAUGUGGCCUUUUCAAUUGCCCAGACAUGAACAAACACCUGAACUUUAAAAAUUGGAGUUUUAUGUCCAUGCAUGAAUUUUUUUUUUUUUUAAUUUUGUUUGUUGAUUAAUUCAUAUAUGCAUAUCAGGUAAAGAGAAGCUGGUUCUAU
rnacentral:misc_RNA from 1 species